rnacentral:rRNA from 1 species
GUCUUUAGUUGCUACGCAAGAGCACUCUAGAGAGACUGCCGGUGACAAACCGGAGGAAGGUGGGGAUGACGUCAAGUCCUCAUGGCCCUUAUGGGUAGGGCUUCACACGUCAUACAAUGGUGCGUACAGAGGGUUGCCAACCCGCGAGGGGGAGCUAAUCCCAGAAAACGCAUCGUAGUCCGGAUCGUAGUCUGCAACUCGACUACGUGAAGCUGGAAUCGCUAGUAAUCGCGGAUCAGCAUGCCGCGGUGAAUACGUUCCCGGGUCUUGUACACACCGCCCGUCACACCAUGGGAGUGGGUUUUGCCAGAAGUAGUUAGCCUAACCGCAAGGAGGGCGAUUACCACGGCAGGGUUCAUGACUGGGGU